rnacentral:rRNA from 1 species
UACGUAGGGUGCGAGCGUUAAUCGGAAUACUGGGCGUAAAGCGUGCGCAGGCGGUGAUGUAAGACCGAUGUGAAAUCCCCGGGCUCAACCUGGGAACUGCAUUUGUGACUGCAUAGCUAGAGUACGGUAGAGGGGGAUGGAAUUCCGCGUGUAGCGGUGAAAUGCGUAGAUAUGCGGAGGAACACCGAUGGCGAAGGCAAUCCCCUGGACCUGUACUGACGCUCAUGCACGAAAGCGUGGGGAGCAAACAGG